rnacentral:rRNA from 1 species
CCUACGGGAGGCAGCCGUGGGGAAUAUUGGGCACUGGGCGCAAGCCUGACCCAGCAACGCCGCGUGAAGGAAGAAGGCUUUCGGGUUGUAACCUUCUUUUGUCAGGGAAGAGUAGAAGACGGUACCUGACGAAUAAGCCACGGCUAACUACGUGCCAGCAGCCGCGGUAAUACGUAGGUGGCAAGCGUUGUCCGGAUUUACGGGGUGUAAAGGGCGUGUAGCCGGGUUGAUAAGUCAGAUGUGAAAUCCUGCGGGUUAACGGCAGAACUGCAUGUGAAACUGUUGAUCUUGAGUACUGGAGAGGCAGAUGGAAUUCCUAGUGUGGCGGUGAAAUGCGUAGAUAUUAGGAGGAACACCAGGGGCGAAGGCGGUCUGCUGGACAGCAACUGACGGUGAGGCGCGAAAGCGUGGGGAGCAAACAGGAUUAGAUACCCCUGUGUC